rnacentral:tRNA from 1 species
AAGGCCGGAAUAGCUCAGUCGGUAGACCAAAG